AUGCUGACUUCCAACUGACAAAACACUCUUCUCACACCCUGGACUUUCCACAGAAAUAUAUUAACCUUCCUUGCCUAGUUUCUCCAUGCCUCACAACCUCUCAGGAUGCCUGCCAUAGAUGUGGGCGAAACUUCAGGAAAGAAUAUUUCUAGAACAUGGCCAUACAGCCCGGAAUACAUACAACAACCCAGGGUUGAUCUCUUGUGAUGUCACCGGGAAUGGGAAAUGCUAUUGUGACAUGGUGAUGUUAUUAAGUAUGAUAUAUUAAGCAUCUACCACAGCUGUCCAAAAUAUGCUAUCAAAAUAAAAAGCACCAAGUUCAAAAAAAUGAGGAAGCUUAAUAUACAGACACUUUUCUAGGCAGAAUUCUCAACUUAAGAUUCCUGCCUCUCCCCUGGAACCCUACAGCUGAGUAAACAAAGAAGACAGUUCAAAUUUAAUUUCUGUUGUAAAGCCUUCUAUUGCUCUCUCAGGAAAUCAACAUCCCUGAGCAAUCUGAUAGAAAUAUGAUGAUCAGAAGGCUGGCAUGGAACUUUCAUAAGGAACAUGAAACUGAAUGCAUAGGUGUAGUGGUACAUUUUGAAGCACAUACCCUAAUCAUGACUGAUCAAAAAGUGGAUGUAUCUGUCUUUACAAAGUGUUGAAGGCUUUCAUGGCUGGAAUACCUGGGUUACUAUGAGUUUUCCGGGCUGUAUAGCAAUGUUCCAGAAGUAUUCUCUCCUGACAAGAGUUCUUUCUCCCACCCUGGACCUUCCACAGAUAUAUAAACCUCCCUUGCUUAGUUUCCAACACACCUCACAACCUCUGAGGAUGCCUGCCAUAGAUGUGGGCGAAACGUCAGGAGAGAAUGCUUCUGGCACAUGGCCAUACAGCCUGGAAAACUCACAGCAACCCACUGUCUUUACAAACAUUUCUAGAAGUCUUUUGUAAAAAUUAUGGUUCUUACUCUCAAAUGCAAGCUCCUCUAAUACCGACUGAGAAAAUCUAUUUCCACUCAAGCUAGUAUACUCGCAAGGAUUAUAGAUGUGCAAGGAAUACCAUAAACAAUGUCACAGAGCCUAGCAAUGCAAAAGUCUGGGAAUUUCCAACUCUGUGGGUCUUGCCUUCACUACAUCAUUGCUAGAAGGCCUUUGGAUUCUUGAAAUCAGUUGUCAAUACUCAGUAGCACUAUCUGGCCAUUUAAAAAAGAAUUCAUGUUCUUAGU
rnacentral:lncRNA from 1 species